rnacentral:rRNA from 1 species
UUAAGCGACUAAGCGUACACGGUGGAUGCCCUGGCAGUCAGAGGCGAUGAAGGACGUGCUAAUCUGCGAAAAGCGCCGGCGAGGUGAUAUGAACCUUUGACCCGGCGAUGUCCGAAUGGGGAAACCCAGUGUGUUCCGACACACUAUCGUUAACUGAAUACAUAGGUUAACGAGGCGAACCGGGGGAACUGAAACAUCUAAGUACCCCGAGGAAAAGAAAUCAACCGAGAUUCCCCCAGUAGCGGCGAGCGAACGGGGAGCAGCCCAGAGUCUGAAUCAGCUUGUGUGUUAGUGGAAGCGUCUGGAAAGUCGCACGGUACAGGGUGACAGUCCCGUACACGAAAGCACACAGGUUGUGAACUCGAAGAGUAGGGCGGGACACGUGGUAUCCUGUCUGAAUAUGGGGGGACCAUCCUCCAAGGCUAAAUACUCCUGACUGACCGAUAGUGAACCAGUACCGUGAGGGAAAGGCGAAAAGAACCCCGGCGAGGGGAGUGAAAAAGAACCUGAAACCGUGUACGUACAAGCAGUGGGAGCCUCUUUUAUGGGGUGACUGCGUACCUUUUGUAUAAUGGGUCAGCGACUUAUAUUCUGUAGCAAGGUUAACCGUAUAGGGGAGCCGAAGGGAAACCGAGUCUUAACUGGGCGUUAAGUUGCAGGGUAUAGACCCGAAACCCGGUGAUCUAGCCAUGGGCAGGUUGAAGGUUGGGUAACACUAACUGGAGGACCGAACCGACUAAUGUUGAAAAAUUAGCGGAUGACUUGUGGCUGGGGGUGAAAGGCCAAUCAAACCGGGAGAUAGCUGGUUCUCCCCGAAAGCUAUUUAGGUAGCGCCUCGUGAACUCAUCUUCGGGGGUAGAGCACUGUUUCGGCUAGGGGGCCAUCCCGGCUUACCAACCCGAUGCAAACUACGAAUACCGAAGAAUGUUAUCACGGGAGACACACGGCGGGUGCUAACGUCCGUCGUGAAGAGGGAAACAACCCAGACCGCCAGCUAAGGUCCCAAAGUCAUGGUUAAGUGGGAAACGAUGUGGGAAGGCACAGACAGCCAGGAUGUUGGCUUAGAAGCAGCCAUCAUUUAAAGAAAGCGUAAUAGCUCACUGGUCGAGUCGGCCUGCGCGGAAGAUGUAACGGGGCUAAACCAUGCACCGAAGCUGCGGCAGCGACGCUUAUGCGUUGUUGGGUAGGGGAGCGUUCUGUAAGCCGUUGAAGGUGUCCUGUGAGGGGUGCUGGAGGUAUCAGAAGUGCGAAUGCUGACAUAAGUAACGAUAAAGCGGGUGAAAAGCCCGCUCGCCGGAAGACCAAGGGUUCCUGUCCAACGUUAAUCGGGGCAGGGUGAGUCGACCCCUAAGGCGAGGCCGAAAGGCGUAGUCGAUGGGAAACAGGUUAAUAUUCCUGUACUUGGUGUUACUGCGAAGGGGGGACGGAGAAGGCUAUGUUAGCCGGGCGACGGUUGUCCCGGUUUAAGCAUGUAGGCGGAGGUUCCAGGUAAAUCCGGUUCCUUGUUAACGCUGAGGUGUGAUGACGAGGCACUACGGUGCUGAAGUAACAAAUGCCCUGCUUCCAGGAAAAGCCUCUAAGCAUCAGGUAACAUCAAAUCGUACCCCAAACCGACACAGGUGGUCAGGUAGAGAAUACCAAGGCGCUUGAGAGAACUCGGGUGAAGGAACUAGGCAAAAUGGUGCCGUAACUUCGGGAGAAGGCACGCUGAUAUGUAGGUGAAGCCCCUGCGGGUGGAGCUGAAAUCAGUCGAAGAUACCAGCUGGCUGCAACUGUUUAUUAAAAACACAGCACUGUGCAAACACGAAAGUGGACGUAUACGGUGUGACGCCUGCCCGGUGCCGGAAGGUUAAUUGAUGGGGUUAGCGGUAACGCGAAGCUCUUGAUCGAAGCCCCGGUAAACGGCGGCCGUAACUAUAACGGUCCUAAGGUAGCGAAAUUCCUUGUCGGGUAAGUUCCGACCUGCACGAAUGGCGUAAUGAUGGCCAGGCUGUCUCCACCCGAGACUCAGUGAAAUUGAACUCGCUGUGAAGAUGCAGUGUACCCGCGGCAAGACGGAAAGACCCCGUGAACCUUUACUAUAGCUUGACACUGAACACUGGUCCUUGAUGUGUAGGAUAGGUGGGAGGCUUUGAAGCGUGGACGCCAGUCUGCGUGGAGCCAACCUUGAAAUACCACCCUUUAAUGGCUGGUGUUCUAACGUAGACCCGUAAUCCGGGUUGCGGACAGUGUCUGGUGGGUAGUUUGACUGGGGCGGUCUCCUCCCAAAGAGUAACGGAGGAGCACGAAGGUUAGCUAAUCCUGGUCGGACAUCAGGAGGUUAGUGCAAUGGCAUAAGCUAGCUUGACUGCGAGAGUGACGGCUCGAGCAGGUGCGAAAGCAGGUCAUAGUGAUCCGGUGGUUCUGAAUGGAAGGGCCAUCGCUCAACGGAUAAAAGGUACUCCGGGGAUAACAGGCUGAUACCGCCCAAGAGUUCAUAUCGACGGCGGUGUUUGGCACCUCGAUGUCGGCUCAUCACAUCCUGGGGCUGAAGUAGGUCCCAAGGGUAUGGCUGUUCGCCAUUUAAAGUGGUACGCGAGCUGGGUUUAGAACGUCGUGAGACAGUUCGGUCCCUAUCUGCCGUGGGCGCUGGAGAAUUGAGGGGGGCUGCUCCUAGUACGAGAGGACCGGAGUGGACGCAUCACUGGUGUUCGGGUUGUCAUGCCAAUGGCACUGCCCGGUAGCUAAAUGCGGAAGAGAUAAGUGCUGAAAGCAUCUAAGCACGAAACUUGCCCCGAGAUGAGUUCUCCCUGAGACUUUAAGUCUCCUGAAGGAACGUUGAAGACUACGACGUUGAUAGGUCGGGUGUGUAAGCGCAGCGAUGCGUUGAGCUAACCGAUACUAAUGAACCGUGAGGCUUAACCU